rnacentral:rRNA from 1 species
GCAUUCAGUUGCCAUCGGGUAAUGCCGGGCACUCUGGAAGGACUGCCAUCGACAAGAUGGAGGAAGGUGGGGGAGUGACGUCAAGUCAUCAUGGCCCUUAUGACCAGGGCUACACACGUACUACAAAUGACCGAUACAAAGGGCAGCGACACUGCGAGGUGAAGCCAAUCCCGUAAAAAUCGGUCUCAGUCCGGAUUGGAGUCUGCAACUCGACUCCAUGAAGUUGGAAUCGCUAGUAAUCGUGGAUCAGCAUGCCACGGUGAAUACGUUCCCGGGCCUU